GUUGCGCACUUGAAGCUUUCAACCUGUUUCUCAUGUUCGACAUCGACAUUUCGAGCACGCACUCUGAGUCGACCUUCUCGGAGGCCUCAAUUUGUCCCGAAGCCGUGACGCCAGGCGCCCGCAGAUGGCAGCACCGCUUCGACUCCUCCCAAAAAAAAGCAGAGAUUCACGACGGGCGUCCGGCCGUCGCCAAGCAAGUGCAGUGCCUGCACCCCGCGUGUGCACCACCGCGCUCCGGCGCUUCUCUAUUUUUUGUCGCCUCUGCACAGCGAAGUCGUGCCGUGUUUUCUCUCCUCGUGUCACGGACCGCUCAGUUGUCGUCACUUCAGUUCCGAUUGCCACCGACAGCAUGACGCGAGUGCUCGCGAACACUGAGCGCAUAAACGGGUGCAACCGCAGCCGAAGUCGGCAACACCAAAGCCCGGGCUGCAGCGACCGCACUUCGUAACAGCUGAGCCGUUGCAUCUGAUCCGAUCCCGUUGAUCCCGCCUGGCAUCUCUGAGGUAGCAAGAGAAAGGAUCCUCAUCAACGGUCGGAAUUGGAGAACAGUGGCUGGUGGUAGCGCAGCGCUGGAUUUAGCUGCCGCCUCUCCGCCCGGGGAUCGACGCCGGACAGGAUUCCGGGCUAAGGAUCGACCGUUGGGCCUCCCUCGCUACACGAGUGUACAACGCGAGUGCUUCUAGCAUCCGCUACGAAAG